rnacentral:lncRNA from 1 species
UCGACAAUGGCGCGCUAACGACGACUUCGACGACGCGCAAAGAGGCCAUUUAGCGGCCUCUUUUCUUUUUCUUUUCUACGACGGCGAUGGGUAGUUGUAUACGCGUAAACGAUAUAGUCGCGAUUUUAUGUCGGUUUGAUCAACACGACCGUCUCCGUGAUAGGUCGAUCCGAUCAAAUUUGACAUUCAAUCGUUACUAUAUCAUGCGCGCGUAUUCAUUA